UACCGGCGGCUCGAGUGGUGGCCACUAUUACUGGGCUUAAAGCGUCCGUAGCUUGGUUGUUAAGUCUCCUGGGAAAUCCAUCGGCUCAACCGAUGGGCGUUCAGGAGAUACUGGCAACCUAGGGACCGGGAGAGGUGAGAGGUACUCCAGGGGUAGGAGUGAAAUCCUGUAAUCCUUGGGGGACCACCUGUGGCGAAGGCGUCUCACUAGAACGGCUCCGACAGUGAGGGACGAAAGCUGGGGGAGCAAA
rnacentral:rRNA from 2 species